rnacentral:Y_RNA from 1 species
GGCUGUUCCAAGUGCGGUGUUUUGUUGGUUUUUUUACAGUUAAUUGAUCACAAUCAGCUAUAGAUUCUUUUGUUCCUUUCCUACUUCCACUGCUUCACUUAACUAGUCUUUA